rnacentral:rRNA from 1 species
UACACUCCUGCGGGAGGCAGCAGUGGGGAAUUUUGGACAAUGGGCGAAAGCCUGAUCCAGCAAUGCCGCGUGAGUGAAGAAGGCCUUCGGGUUGUAAAGCUCUUUUGUCAGGGAAGAAACGGUGAAAGCUAAUAUCUUUUGCUAAUGACGGUACCUGAAGAAUAAGCACCGGCUAACUACGUGCCAGCAGCCGCGGUAAUACGUAGGGUGCAAGCGUUAAUCGGAAUUACUGGGCGUAAAGCGUGCGCAGGCGGUUUUGUAAGUCUGAUGUGAAAUCCCCGGGCUCAACCUGGGAAUUGCAUUGGAGACUGCAAGGCUAGAAUCUGGCAGAGGGGGGUAGAAUUCCACGUGUAGCAGUGAAAUGCGUAGAUAUGUGGAGGAACACCGAUGGCGAAGGCAGCCCCCUGGGUCAAGAUUGACGCUCAUGCACGAAAGCGUGGGGAGCAAACAGGAUUAGAAACCCUUGUAGUCCCA